UACGUAGGGGGGCAAGCGUUGCUCGGAAUCACUGGGCGUAAAGGGUGCGUAGGCGGGUCUUUAAGUCAGGGGGUGAAAUCCUGGAGCUCAACUCCAGAACUGCCUUUGAUACUGAAGAUCUUGAGUUCGGGAGAGGUGAGUGGAACUGCGAGUGUAGAGGUGAAAUUCGUAGAUAUUCGCAAGAACACCAGUGGCGAAGGCGGCUCACUGGCCCGAUACUGACGCUGAGGCACGAAAGCGUGGGGGAGCAAACAGG
rnacentral:rRNA from 1 species